rnacentral:rRNA from 1 species
GACGAACGCUGGCGGCGUGCUUAACACAUGCAAGUCGAACGCUGAAGCUCAGCUUUUGUUGGGUGGAUGAGUGGCGAACGGGUGGGUAACACGUGAGUAACCUGCCUCCUUCUUUGGGAUAACGCCCGGAAACGGGUGCUAAUACUGGAUAUUCACUGGUCUUCGCAUGGGGGUUGGUGGAAAGGGUUUUUCUGGUGGGGGAUGGGCUCGCGGCCUAUCAGCUUGUUGGUGGGGUGAUGGCCUACCAAGGCUUUGACGGGUAGCCGGCCUGAGAGGGUGACCGGUCACGUUGGGACUGAGAUACGGCCCAGACUCCUACGGGAGGCAGCAGUGGGGAAUAUUGCACGAUGGGCGCAAGCCUGAUGCAGCGACGCCGCGUGAGGGAUGGAGGCCUUCGGGUUGGGAAUCUCUUUCGCUCAUGGUCAAGCCGCAACAAUGGUUGUGGUGAGGGUAGUGGGUAAAGAAGCGCCGGCUAACUACGUG